rnacentral:rRNA from 1 species
AUUGAACGAUGGCGGCAGGCCUAAACCAUGCAAGUCAAGCGAGCGGGAGACGGGUGAGUAAUGUAUAGGGCCUGCCCGAUAGAGGGGGAUAACUACUGGAAACGGUAGCUAAUACCUCAUACCAUCGGAUAACCCAUGUGAGAUUAGCUAGUAGGGGAGGUAAUGACUCACCUAGUAGACGGUCACUAGCUGGCCUGAGAGGAUGCUCAGCCACAUGGGGACUGAGACAAGGCCCAGACUCCAAGGGAGGCAGCAGUGGGGAAUAUUGCACAAUGGGUGCAAGCCUGAUGCAGCCAUGCCGCGUGUAUGAAGAAGGCUCUAGGGUUGUAAAGUACUUUCAGGCUGGAGGCGUUACCGACAGAAGAAGCACCGGCUAACUCCGUGCCAGCAGCCGCGGUAAUUC